CGAGAAACUCUCAUUCAUGGAGGCUUGCUUCAAUUGACCCCUAAACAAAAGUUACUAGUUCAGUGAUUAUGGACUUCAUAGUCAUACUAAACUUAAGUUAGAAUUAUACACAAGAAUCUAUAAUUGAAAAUCAAAGGCCAGACGAUCCUGACUUGGGACCCUAGAGAAUUUAAGCAUUACAAAUGUAAUUAUAAGGGCCUCAAUGAACAUGGACAAAACUAAUACAUAAAGAUUUUAGACAUGAAUAUUAAUAAAAAAGAAGAUGUGGUAUUCUUGCCAAUGAGACAACUGUCCACAAGAGACCAAAAUGACACAG
rnacentral:lncRNA from 1 species